rnacentral:miRNA from 1 species
AGGGUGACCAGCUACUCUGGUUUGCCUGGGACUGAAAUGUUUCCUGGAAUAAAAGCCUUUCAGUGCUGAAACUUGGACAGCC